rnacentral:rRNA from 1 species
UUAACACAUGCAAGUCGAACGAUGAAGCCUAGCUUGCUGGGUGGAUUAGUGGCGAACGGGUGAGUAACACGUGAGCAACCUGCCCCUGACUCUGGGAUAAGCGCUGGAAACGGCGUCUAAUACUGGAUACGAACCAUGAAGGCAUCUUCAGUGGUUGGAAAGAUUUAUUGGUUGGGGAUGGGCUCGCGGCCUAUCAGCUUGUUGGUGAGGUAAUGGCUCACCAAGGCGUCGACGGGUAGCCGGCCUGAGAGGGUGACCGGCCACACUGGGACUGAGACACGGCCCAGACUCCUACGGGAGGCAGCAGUGGGGAAUAUUGCACAAUGGGCGCAAGCCUGAUGCAGCAACGCCGCGUGAGGGAUGACGGCCUUCGGGUUGUAAACCUCUUUUAGCAGGGAAGAAGCGAAAGUGACGGUACCUGCAGAAAAAGCACCGGCUAACUACGUGCCAGCAGCCGCGGUAAUACGUAGGGUGCAAGCGUUAUCCGGAAUUAUUGGGCGUAAAGAGCUCGUAGGCGGUUUGUCGCGUCUGCUGUGAAAUCUGGGGGCUCAACCCCCAGCCUGCAGUGGGUACGGGCAGACUAGAGUGCGGUAGGGGAGAUUGGAAUUCCUGGUGUAGCGGUGGAAUGCGCAGAUAUCAGGAGGAACACCGAUGGCGAAGGCAGAUCUCUGGGCCGUAACUGACGCUGAGGAGCGAAAGGGUGGGGAGCAAACAGGCUUAGAUACCCUGGUAGUCCACCCCGUAAACGUUGGGA